rnacentral:rRNA from 1 species
CGGAGGGUGCGAGCGUUGUCCGGAAUCAUUGGGCGUAAAGGGCGCGUAGGUGGCCUGCUAAGCGUGCGGUGAAAGCUCGGGGCUCAACCCCGAGUCGGCCGUGCGAACCGGUGGGCUUGAGCACUGUAGAGGCAGGCGGAAUUCCGGGUGUAGCGGUGGAAUGCGUAGAGAUCCGGAAGAACACCGGUGGCGAAGGCGGCCUGCUGGGCAGUAGCUGACACUGAGGCGCGACAGCGUGGGGAGCAAACAGGAUUAGAUACCCUGGUAGUCCACGCCGUAAACGAUGGGCACUAGGCGCUUGGGGGAGCGACCCCCCGAGGGCCGGCGCUAACGCAUUAAGUGCCCCGCCUGGGGAGUACGGCCGCAAGGCUG